rfam:Gossypium arboreum cultivar AKA8401 contig_3077_1, whole genome shotgun sequence.
GGCAACAUGGCCGAGCGGUAAGGCGGGGGACUACAAAUCUCUUAUUUCUUAGUUCAAAUUGAGUGUUGCCU